rnacentral:sRNA from 1 species
GCCAUAUGGAGACUCUGAGGAGGCAGAUUUAGCUUCAGCCUUGUACUUGGGAGUACAGAGUCAGAGUUUGGAGGUGCAGCUGAGUCUGAAGGACACUGCCGGUCUCCAUCCUUGGGGCGCACAGGGUUCUGUCAUGAGGAUAAUAGGUAGAGAUGGUCUCCAUCCUUGGGGCGCACAGGGUUCUGUCAUGAGGAUAAUAGGUAGAGAUGAGUGUGCCCAUAGUCCCGUGUGGACUUAGGAGUUACUAGUGACAGCAGCAGGUGAAAUUAAGACCCUUGGUUGUUAAAAGAGUGGGAAGGAUGCUGGGAAGCCAAGGGCCAAAGCCAGCCUAGGGGGGUGCAGGGAGGGUCCCAGGGAAAUGGGGAGGGGUGAAGACCCAAGGAGGUUGAAGGGAAGGUGGUGCAGCAAUGUGAGA